GCCUAGCCACGCCAAAGAAUUUGUGUGGCAGCUGACCGUGGUGAGGGAUAGAGACACAGACCGAGAGAGAAAAAGGCUGUAGGCUUUAUUGAGCAGAUUGAAAGGACAAAGCUUCCACAGUGUGGAAGGGGUCCCGAGCGGGUAGCCAGAGUUAGAUUAUGUGACUGCCUUUUAAACUCUUUAAGGCCGGAAAUACGUGUGGCGAGAUGUUACCAGAGCGAGAAACAAAGGCAAUUAACCGUUUGUAACAUGUCUUAGAUCUUGAGGAAAACUGGAAUUGCAACUUAGGUUUUAUCUACUUUAUGAACUUGCAGCAGCAUGGCAAAGGAGACGGGAUCUUACAGGACUUUGUUACAAAGACCGAAGUAAGUCCUGAUGCAGGAAAUGAGUGACUUUCACAGCUUUCUGAGCCCCUACUCAACCCAGGAAGUCCAGCUGGCACCUCCUCUGGAUCACAAGGCUACUUCUCAGGCUUCUUGGCUGUGUACACCCCCUCAGGGGACUUCAAGUAU
rnacentral:lncRNA from 10 species